UACGUAGGCAGCAAGCGUUGCUCGGAGUUACUGGGCGUAAAGGGUGCGUAGGCGGCUUUUUAAGUUUGGUGUGAAAUCUCCCGGCUCAACUGGGAGGGUGCGCCGAAUACUGAGAGGCUAGAGUGUGGGAGAGGAAAGUGGAAUUCCUGGUGUAGCGGUGAAAUGCGUAGAUAUCAGGAGGAACACCGGUGGGGUAAACGGCUUUCUGGACCAUAACUGACGCUGAGGCACGAAAGCGUGGGUAGCAAACAGG
rnacentral:rRNA from 1 species